CUGGCAGUCAGGGAGGGCAGCACAACCCUUGGGAGAAGGGCAGGGAGGUUUAAAGAAGUUAACUUCAUGACUUUUUUUAUUUAGAGCUUGUUCUCAGCAAAAAGCUAACUCCUACGUCUUUACAGUUUUAAACUGUGGUCCCAUCUGCUCUAACUUUGAGAGCUGAGCUUGGAAAAUACCAGGAGACCUCAGCAAGAUGCUGGAGCUGACACUGGUAGCUGCGUCACCAUCUCUUCUCUGCCACGAGAGCCUCCGAGUCCUGAGGGAGCGCUGCGCAUCUCGCGAGGCGCUCGGGCUGCUGCGUAAACCAGAGACUAUGAUAGUCCUCAUCCUCCCAACCGAACCCUUCAAAAAAUGGUAAUGAAGAUUUACUUUAACAGCUGUGACUCCCAGAGGCAUUGGUAGAGGAACAUUUGGUUUCAAAUGAGGACCACUGAAAGAAGCACAGGAAGAGGUUGACUCAUCCUCUUCAGUUAUCUUGUGCUCUCUGAUGGAAGUGCUUCAAGCAAAGAGUAACGUGGAAUGGCAACUGAGACAUCUGGACACGCUCAGAUAUACAAAGGUACAAAAUUCAAAUAGGACAUUAGAAGAGAAAAAUGCCUCUUAUUCACAGUAUAAUUGCACAUGUAAAUUCUCUAGUGAAAUCUGUAUGGUGCUUUAUCACAAUGUUAAAAAUAUGAUGGCAGAAGGAAAUAAAAUUAAUUUGAAGAAAUAUUCCAGUUCUUCUUCUUAUCUUUUCUAUAACUCUGGUCUUUCCUAUUAAGUAUGUAGAUUUUAAUAAUCUGAAUCUUCCAAUGAAACAACUUUAACACAGCCUGAAUUAUGUGCAUCUAUAUU